UGAUCCUGUGAUGUAAUUCAGUUGGAGAAUUGGGAUUUGAACGUUUUUCUGUACCUCAGAAGUGGUCAUAUGCCACUUACUCUCAUUCAAGAGUAAACUCCAAGAAAGGGAACAGGAGAAUUCCUCUUAUGAACAUACAGCACAGAAUACAGCUUUAGGACCCCAGAGGACAGAGCUAGCUCAUGCGUGUGGAGCCCCUGGCCAGGACCUCCACUAACCUGCUGACGGUCCCCAGGCCUGGGAAACUAAGGGGCGCUCUGUCGCACCCGGCUCCAGACCCAGUGGUGUGGGUUCUGGUUCUGGAUCUGAAAGAGAAAUGAGAGGUGAGUCCAGGAGGAUGGACUCAUCCUUGUUCUUCUCUGGGCAGCACCCUGUCUACCCGCUCCCUGGGCUGAUCCCUGGCAGACCUCUUCACACUCCUGCCGAGUGAGCCAAGCUCGGUAAUCUAUGACUUGGAGGAACUCCCCCUGCAGCCUUUGGAAGUCCUUGUAUAAGUCCUGCCAUGUGUCUGUGCCCAGCAGGAAUUGAAAGAUGCUCCUCUUGAAUAUGGGGUCAUCCUCUUCCAUGUCAAAGGCGAUGUAGCUGCCACAGGAAAGGGGAAGUACAUGUCCUUAACAGUGAGUCAGAGGAAGGUGGGAGCAUGUAUCUCUAGCCAUAGGGUGGAAAAGCAGUUUGUGCAGGGUCACCUUAGGAUAGAGCAUACCCAGGGCAUGCUGGAACAAAGCAUGAAGGACCCAUUCACUUCUCAAUCAAGGAAAAGGACACUUCUGUUUUUCCUUCUUAAAGGUAGUUAAGAUCCUUCAUGAUGUCAGGACCCUCCCUUUCCCCCUUCUGGGCUCUUGAAAGUUUCAACUACUUUAUCGCUGAGGAUCACCACUCAGGCCUUAUGGAGCGAGGGGAGCUUUGGGAAUAGGAUUUGGAAAGAUUUGUUCUCAUGUGAUGCUCACAGGGCCAGGAAGAAGUGGAUCCUGUUGUAGAGAUGUCCAGGCAGCCCGAGUCGGCCAAAGUACUCCACCACCAUGGACAGCAGGUACUGUGUGGACAGAGAACAGGUGAGGGCAGGCAGGUAGUAGACAAGAGGGUAAGAAAUCUCAGUGGGGCCUGGGUCUUCUGCAGCUGAUCAUUAUACUCCAAAUUAUACACAGAAAGGGGGAGCGGAAUACAUUUGCUUUGUGGAUGUGAGCUAAUUGGAAAACCAGGAAGGAAUUUGGGGGAUAUAAUGGGAUGGGCAGCAUGUCUCUGUUGCUCUGUCCUGGAGAACAGUCCUGGGUUAUCCUGGCCUAGUACAGUCUUAUCUUUUCUGUGUAUCCCCGAGGGCAGUGACUGCAGAAUCCUGAGGUUCCAGGUACCUUGUCAGUCAUUCUGAAGAAAAUGUCAGCUGCCAAGAAGUUCUGGACCACAGGAUCCUCUGCAAAGAAAGCAAUGUGUACCAUCUUGACUUGUGGGUUGUUUUGUGAGGAGAGAAGUACCUACAUCAGUACUCAUGAGACUGAGUGACAAGCAGUCACUAGGCUGCAACUGGCUCUUCAAACAGAGAGAGACCACAGUGUCCAGGGAAGAUGGGCACAUACCUGAUUUGAUAUCUUCCAGUGCCUUUGUCUUCUUGACUUUCUUGCUCUUGGCCUGCUGCUCAGGGACAUCCCCUGGAGAGUCAUCACUGGAGAUAAUAAUGAUGUCAUCUUCUGGAUCUGCAGGAAAAAGAAACCUCAUGUGACCACAAGAGGGACAACCUGGACAUGGCAGAGUUCUUCCCUUUUCAUAAUCCCAUGUGACAUCUGAGGAUGUCUCAGGGAAUGGCCUUCACUCAUCCACAUAGGAGACUAGAAAUUGAGUUACUAUGUACUAUUCUUUGCCAAGCACUAGCUACUCUCUGGUGUCUCUUUCUCUGGAUCAUUGUGUCUACAGGAAACCCCUUUGGAGACAGAUGAACUUGUUGGCCCAGUAGAACUUGAUUUAGCACAGUUUUGGAAGAUAGGAGGACCAAGCAUAGUGGCCACGCUGUUUCAUCCAUACUGAGACAGGAAUGUCAAGGGGCAUGCAGACACAUACCGGUCAUGACAUCCUCCAGUUUCCUUUUCCUCGGUCCACCACUAUACAUGGAUCUCUGCUCAGGACCAUCCCCUGGAGAGUCAUCACUGGAGAUUAGAAUGAUGUCGUCUUCUGGAUCUGCAGGAAGAGAAGCCAAGUUCUCCCUUUCUGACCAUCUCAUGUGACACCUCAAGAUGUCUGAAAGGAAAGGCCUUGACGUAUCCACAAAGGAGACAAGAAAUUGAGUUAUUAUGUACUUUUCUUUACCAAGUACCAGCUCCUUACUGGUACUUCUUUCUCUGAAUCCUUCUGUCUGUAGCAAACCCCUAUGGAGAUAAAAUUUUUUAUCUUCUAUCUAUCAUAGCUACAAAGGUGACCAAGGAAUGACUUGGCUCACCAGGACACCCCUUGCUAUGGCCCUGUACAAGUGGAUUUAGGACAGCUUGUGUAGAUGGAGGGACUCUGCAUAGUGGCCAUGCAGUUUCAUCCAUACUGGGACAUAAAUGCCAACAGGUAUGCAGACACAUACCGGUCAUGACAUUCUCCAGUUUCCUUUUUCUUUGUCCACUGUUGUUCUUAGAUCUCUGCUCAGGACCAUCCCCUGGAGAGUCAUCACUGGAGAUAAUAAUGAUGUCAUCUUCUGGAUCUACAGGAAGAGAAGACCUCAUGUGACCACAAGAGGCACAACCUGGACCUGGCAGAGUUCUUCUCUUCUCAUUCCAUGUGACAUCUGACGAAGUCUGGGAGGAUGGCCCUUGCGUAUCUACAAUGUACUAGAAAUUGAGUUACUAUAUACUCUUCUUUGUUAAGCACCAGAUUCUCUUUGCUGCCUCUUUCUCUGGAUGCUUCUGCCUGGAGGCCACCCCUGUGGAGACAGAUGAACUUGAUCAUUCAUCUGUCAUAGCUACAACAGUGACUAAGGAAGUGAUAUCCUGGCUCACCAGGACACCCUUGCUAUGGCCCUGUACAUCUGGAUUUAGGACAGCUUGGGAGGAUGAAGGGACUCUGCAUAGUGGUCAUGAUUUCAUUCAUACUGAUAUACAUGCAGACACAAACCAGUCAUGACAUUCUCCAGUUUCCUUUUUCUGUGUUCCCUCUUCCUCUUGGAUUUCUGCUCACGGACAUCCUUUGCAGAGGCACCCCUGGAAACCCGAAUACUAUUGGCCUGUAGAGCUGCAGGGAGAGAAGACCACACCAUGAGCACAGAACCACCUGCUUGGCCACUGCCAGGCCCUUCCCUUCUCAUACACAUUGUGGAAUUAACAUGUAAUGCGAAUAUAUCUAAGAGGAAUGCCCCCCUACUAGGUCCAAUAUGCACUUAUUUACCAAGAUGGCUUGGGGUUGAAUUCCUAUGUACCUUUUUUGGCUAAGCAAACACUAUUCUCUGGCACCUCUUUUCGUGAGUCAUUCUGAUUGCACGGUGCCUUAGGAGGGACAGUUGCCCUCUUUGAUCUUCUGUCUGACAUAGCUGUAAAAAGUAAAUAAAAAGUGACCUGGCUCACCAGGAAACACCUUGCUAUGCUACUGUAGAAGCUGACUCAGAGGAGCUGGGGAAGAGGGUGGGGCUAGGUGCAGUGGCCAUGCUGCUUCAUCCUUCAUGCAUCUGGGGACCAGGGCAAUAACACCGAGGGUCAUACACACCUGUCUUUACUUUCCCAAGUCUAUUUUUCUUUUGAUAGUUCAUUGGCUUCUGAAAUCUUGGUGCUGUGUCUGAGGUGACUGGUGUAGACAUAAAGGAAUCCUGUCUUCUUUGGUUAUCCAAGCAAGGCAGGGGA